rnacentral:rRNA from 1 species
UACGUAGGGUGCGAGCGUUAAUCGGAAUUACUGGGCGUAAAGCGUGCGCAGGCGGUUUGCUGUGUCCGUCGUGAAAGCCCCGGGCUUAACCUGGGAAUGGCGAUGGAAACUGGCGAGCUGGAGUGCGGCAGAGGGGGGUGGAAUUCCGCGUGUAGCAGUGAAAUGCGUAGAGAUGCGGAGGAACACCGAUGGCGAAGGCAGCCCCCUGGGUCGACACUGACGCUCAGGCACGAAAGCGUGGGGAGCAAACAGG